rnacentral:rRNA from 1 species
UACGGAGGGUGCAAGCGUUAUCCGGAUUCACUGGGCGUAAAGCGCACGUAGGCGGAUAUGUCAGUCAGGGGUGAAAUCCCGGGGCUCAACCUCGGAACUGCCUUUGAUACAGCAUAUCUUGAGUCCGAUAGAGGUGGGUGGAAUUCCUAGUGUAGAGGUGAAAUUCGUAGAUAUUAGGAAGAACACCGGUGGCGAAGGCGGCCCACUGGAUCGGUACUGACGCUGAGGUGCGAAAGCGUGGGGAGCAAACAGG